AAUAGAAGAAUACAAUACACAACUGCAAAUGUGAAUAGGAAAUACCUAUAAUGGUCUAAAUUAUUUUAUUUCAUUUGCUGUAUCAUUCCCUCAAAACUAAAGUUUUAAAUAUUUACAAAUAGUAUUUCAGCCUUUCUUUUAUUUUUAUUAGACCGAGUAUGGAUCUUUUGUACAAUCAUUUAUAAAGGAUUUUGCCCUUUGCAACGAUGGCUAUUUUGGAAACCGAUAAUAAAUUGAGCUUCAAGUUAAUGAAAAUAGAAUGGAAUGGUGCGUGAGUGAGAUAUUGGGCUCCAGAAAAAAGGAAAAACGUUUUAAAUAUGCAAUAGUAUAUAUU